AAGAGCCUGGGCAGUUGCCCAGGGUAGCCGUAUGGUGAAACCGCCUAUGCCCUUAAUCCAAAUGCUAAUUUUACGGCACUUUCGUUCUUCUUCCUUGGCUUCUUUCAUUAGGUAUGGCUUAUUUUUCUUUUAGAUUAUCUCUUAUCGAUCUAUUCUAUUUUAUCAAUUUCAAUUGAUAGUGAUCGUUCAGUGUCUUUAUAAUUUAUGUCCAUUUCUGUGUUUUAAUUUGUUGCAAAUUCUUUUUGAAAUUGUAAAAAAUUUGUUGGAUUUAGGGUAGAUUGCUGGUAGAGGUUUUCCAUCUUUCACAUAUAAGGUAAUAAAGGAUUUGUUUGUCUCUCUGCUGUUACUUUUUAUUAGAUAGAUUUUGCAUGAUUGGUGUUCCUCUUCAAAUGAUAGUUUUCUAUAUUGAUUGGUUUCAAAUUAACAUCAUAGUAUUUGACAUUUUUAUGCAUUAUGAUUUUUAGUUUUUCGAAUGGUGGCUAUACACACUCAUCCACCAUAGUAUUUGACAUUAUUUUGUUUACAGUAGAGUCUGAUAUGUAUUCUUUUGACUAAUUUCUUACUUAUGGAUGUAUUGGACUGGGAAUAGAAAUUCAAGGCACACUUGAUAAACAUUUCAAGGACUACUUUGAGCUCCAAAAUUCUCUCACAAGACAGAAAACAUUUUGUAAAGUUAAUUGUAGAUGUUGUAAUGAGACUAAAGGUGAACAACUACUAUCUUACUAAUAUAAUUAAAUUUUGGAGGAUUCAGCAAAAAGUGUGUCCAAUGUUGCUAUGUUUUUUGUCUUGGACUACAUGUCGCAUAUGGAGAAAUUUUACUAUAAAAAUUAGAUACAUUGGUGAUUUAUAUGAUACUUAUAAGUGUAUUUUAGUCAUAGCUUGGUUUUUUUUUAGUCAUUGCUUGGUUACUAUACAAUAUAAUAAAACAAAAUGAAUAUUUUAGCAAGUUUGCCACUUGGCAAGCCUACAUCUUUUCUUCUAUUUUUAACUCUCCUAUAAAUGACAACUUCCCUUAAUUGUAUUUUACUACUAUUAUUUUUUUAUUAUUUUCUUUUCUCUCAUUACUUAGCAUGACCAAAUCAUUGUUUUCUUUCGCGCUUUCGACUUUUCACUAUCAGCAGAAAUUUCACUUCCUAUUCUCAAUGCAAACCCUUCAAUGGGAUUUUCUCUUCUCCCAAUUCCUAAUCAUUAACCAUUAUUUUCUCAAUUCCUCCAUAUUCAUCCUUCCCUUCUCUCUCUGCUCUAAAAAAAACUAGAUCUCUCAUUCUACCUCCAUUGCCAUUUAGCAUCGUUAGUUGUCGUCUCUCUCUGCUUCAAAUCCGCUGAACCACAAAGAACUCUUCAAUCAUAAAGCAAGUAUCUGAUCCUACCUCUCAAUCAGUUCUCUGUUGGAAACGAAUGAAAGGAAAGGAAGCAGGAGAUUCUACGGCUCAGAGAAGAUCUGAAAUAAUCUCAAGAUGCUUUACACUGCGACUUAUUUCGUGAGAGCGCUUCUUGCAAGUGCUAUUUGUUCAAUGAUUUAGGGAAAUUAAAUCCAAAUCAUCAUGGAAAUAAAUAUUUCACCAGGUUCAAUGACGUACUUUUCCGUAGAUUUCCAAGACAAGGUGGAAUGUGAAUUAAUAGAAGGAGUCUGCUCGAUUCAAAUUGUGUAUAAUCAAAACAGGUAACCUGUGUGGAUCUAUAAAACAGGGCGGUAAUGGAGGAGACAUCAUGCAUUGGUGAUAUGAAGGAUCAGACUCAAGAGCUUCGUCAUAUCUAUAAAGCUAAACGGAAAGCAAAGGAAGUAUGAUUGAUAAUUGAUAAUGUUUAUUGUUUAUCUCUUUUAAAUGGUCAUCUUUUGAUGUGUGUUCUAUUUGACAUGUGAGCGUUAAUGCAAUAUUACUGUCAAAAUAGUCAACCUUUUGAAACUUAUCUCUAAUGCAAAAUCUGAACAAUUGUUGAUACUCAAGAACCUCAAAACACUUUAAUAUGCAGAAUAAGUGGUGGCCUAGCUUUGAUUGGCAAUAUAGUGAGUCAUCUUUAUUUGGCUAUCAAUAGCUUAUCAAAAUGAGUUUGAAAUUCUGAUGGAAACAUGCAUAGUAAAGGAAGAGAAAAUUGAAGCUAUAAAGACUAUUGUAUAUGCCAGUUCAUGAUUGCAGCAUAUGUGCAUGGCAAUUUAUUUGACAAUGUAGUGCAAUGUAGAAUGUUAAUCAAAGUAUAUUAGAGUAGCAUGUUUACUACUUCGUUGACAUGAGUAGCUCAUA